rfam:Ovis aries breed Texel chromosome 7, whole genome shotgun sequence.
UCUCUGGUAGCUCAGAGGGUAAAGAAUCUGCCUGCAAUGCAGGAGACCUGGGUUCAAUACCCAAGUCAGGAAG